GCGGAGGUGAGCUGGGGUCGGGGGGCACAAGGAGGGCCGCCCGCACUGCAGCAGGCAUUCUUGAGGAUUUGGCAGGAGGCCCUAAUCCCUGAAGCUAUAGAUGAUUUAUCGCUCCUACUUAUAUACACUGAAGUAAUGAUAUGCCAGCUGUAUUGCAUGUUACCUGGUGGCAGUCUUACUCCAAAUCUGUAUGAGCACAGACAGGAGGUAUGCCAGUAGCCUCAUAAUUUCACCUAACUGUGAUUUUCCUACUGCUGAAUAGGACAAGAUACUCCUCAGCUUUACCACCUAAUAGCUGUCUCAGGGCUGACCUGUUUCUGCUUCAGAAGUAUCUGCAUGUACUGUUAACUUCUCUUUAUUGUUAAAUUCUGGCAAUAUACUUGACUCUGUGUAAGACAAGUAUAAGCCAUUGAAUUAGUGAGAGAAAGAGAAGGUUAUAACCUCCAAAGGGGUUAUUUCCACACAGGAAUUUUUUAAAAAAUAAAAUGUGUAAAGUUACCUUGAGUUUUAUCAAGUGGAAGGAUCUUUCACUCUGUACUGGCACUGUGACGAGGCAUUGAAAGUUUAAUGACCCAAGUAGCCUGAAUUGUAAUGCAUUUUCUUGCUGCUGUUAGAAUGUUUUCUGGUUUUGCAAUAUUUUUAACAUUUUACACUGUAUAAGUUGUCAAAAUGCAGUACCUUAAUAAACCUUCACUCUCCAGGAAUCUUUCUGGCCUCCUGCAGGGAUCUGUAUUAUCUCCAAUGUUGUUCAAUUUAUAUUAGAAUGAUCUACCAUAUACUAGGUCUUGCACAUUUGCUUAUGCAGACAACAUAUGCCUCAGCACUCAGUCACACUCCUUUGACAUACUUGAGAGUGUUCUGAAUGCAGAUAUGGUGGCUCUGGCCAAUUGUCAUUGGUGGCACCUGAUACCAAGUGGAAAUAAGACUGUGUUGAGUGUCUUCCACUUACAUCAUGCACAAGA